rnacentral:rRNA from 1 species
GAUGAACGCUGGCGGCGUGCCUAAUACAUGCAAGUCGAGCGAACAGAUGAGGAGCUUGCUCCUCUGACGUUAGCGGCGGACGGGUGUGUCACACGUGUAUCACCUCCCUAUAAGUCUGGGAUCACCUCGGGAAACCGGCGCUAAUACCGGAUAAUAUAUUGAACCGCAUGGUUCAAUAGUGAAAGUCGGUUUUGCUGUCACUUCUAGAUGGAUCCCCGCCGCUUUAGCUAGUUGGUAAGGUAACGGCUUACCACGGCAACGAUGCGUAGCCGACCUGAGAGGGUGAUCGGCCACACUGGAACUGGACCACGGUCCAGGCGCCUAAGGGAGGCACCAGAAGGGAAUCUUCCGCAACGGGCGGAAACAUGACGGAGCAAGGGCGCGUGAGUGGUGAAGGUGUUCGGAUCGUAAAACUCGGUUAUUAGGGAAGAACAACUGUGUAAGUAACUGUGCACGUAUUGACGGUACCUGAUCAGAAAGCCACGGCUAACUACGUG